rnacentral:rRNA from 1 species
GACGAACGCUGGCGGCGUGCCUAAUACAUGCAAGUCGAACGCUUCUUUCCUCCCGAGUGCUUGCACUCAAUUGGAAAGAGGAGUGGCGGACGGGUGAGUAACACGUGGGUAACCUACCCAUCAGAGGGGGAUAACACUUGGAAACAGGUGCUAAUACCGCAUAACAGUUUAUGCCGCAUGGCAUAAGAGUGAAAGGCGCUUUCGGGUGUCGUUGAUGGAUGGACCCGCGGUGCAUUAGCUAGUUGGUGAGGUAACGGCUCACCAAGGCCACGAUGCAUAGCCGACCUGAGAGGGUGAUCGGCCACACUGGGACUGAGACACGGCCCAGACUCCUACGGGAGGCAGCAGUAGGGAAUCUUCGGCAAUGGACGAAAGUCUGACCGAGCAACGCCGCGUGAGUGAAGAAGGUCUUCGGAUCGUAAAACUCUGUUGUUAGAGAAGAACAAGGACGUUAGUAACUGAACGUCCCCUGACGGUAUCUAACCAGAAAGCCACGGCUAACUACGUG